rnacentral:rRNA from 1 species
CUAUGAGCAUAUGUGAAACCACCUGAUCCCAUCCCGAACUCAGCAGUGAAACGAUGCAUCGCCGAUGGUAGUGUGGGGUUUCCCCAUGUGAGAGUAGGUCAUCGU